GGCAUUGCUGCCCACCAGCAGAGGAUCAGGCUGACAUCUUCAGGAGGCAUAUGGAGGUAAUGGUUAACUUUGCUACAGUGAAGACCAAGGUAAAUUGGGUGCACUGAAGAGAAAAACCUGACCACUUCUGCAGCUGUGCAUCUGGAGUCUGGGGUACAAGCAAUUUUCCAGUCUUGACCCUUUAUCUGUUGACCAAGCUAAGGCAGAAACCAGCUAAAUUCUGGAUUUAAUCUUGAGCAGCAAAAAAGAUCAGCUUUUGAAGUGGAUCUGCUUUUAUUCUUGGCAAAAGUUCAGCGGAGACCAACCAGAGUGGUGACAAAGUUCUUCAACAUCAAGCCAAAUGUAAUACAAGGAAUUACGGAUAGUGCUUAAUCUAAAAUAAAGAAAUUCCACAUCUCCCUAAAAAGUUAUUGGCUUCAAGAAUGAAAACAAAAGAAGCAUAUUUGUCUCAAUCCAAACACAGACACCAGAAAGACAAACCAGGAGUAUACAGCAAAGUAGCUUGCAGGAUAAUACAUUGAAAAAUGUAAUUGUGCAUAAAUCAUGCACAAAGUAGAAACCACAAAUUCUGUAUUUGGCAAGGCUUCGGUUCCUUUGCAUAAUUCUUUCAUUUUCAUCUUGCUGCUUCCAUUCUCUUUUCAUCAAAAAAAGCUACAUAAAACAAAGACAUAAACUGUAUGCAAUUAAAAUGAGAAAAUAGCUGAAAGGAAUGUAUUGAUAAUUAUGUUAAAAUCUAUACCAUAAGUAUUCUUGCAUUGUUAAGCAUCUAAUUUUUCAUGUGUUGACAUCAGCAUCUCAGUUCUCUCUAACAUCUGAAAGCUUUUUUUUUUAAGGCAACUUCUUUUAGAGUGAACAAACUUAUGUACCACCGAGUUGACAAAAGUAUAACUAUAUCCUACAGAAAGAGACCUCAAGUAAACCUCCAGCAGCCAUCUGGACUUCCAUGAAAACAGAACAAUCAGUGAGAUGCAGAGCUUGGAGGAGACAGUUUCCAUAGACUGAAGCACGUGCUGAAGCAAAGUUCACACUUGCAGGAUUAGAAGAGGUUGACCGAAAGAAGGAAGGACAUGGACAGCUAUGUUGUUGUGGAGUCCUGUUUUAUAGUCAUAACCUUGAGUCAAGUGAGUUUGUCUGGACAGACAGAGCUUGUUGCCUUUACUUAUAGGGAAGGCACCGGACACAGACAGCCUCAAGGACAUUUGUUCUAGCCUUUCAGUAUCCUUUCUCUUAAUUAUCUCACCUCAUCCAUGAAGCUGGUAUGUACGAUUUUUCCUUUCUUUCUCAAUCCUUUAAAAAAUUAAAGCUCUAAAUCUCA
rnacentral:lncRNA from 1 species